UUUAGUUCGAUACAAUGCGUCAAACCUUACAAGCCCUUGACAUAUGAACAAGUAAACCCGUCCUUAACGGGAUGGUACUUACUUUCAUACAGGUGCUUCAUGGCUGUCGUCAGCUCAUGUCGUGAGAUGUUUGGUCAAGUCCUAUAACGUUCGAAACCCUUAUUUUGUGUUGCUGAGACAUGCCCCUAAGGAGAAAGUCUUUGCAACCGAAGUGAGCCAUGUCGAACUAGAAUGCCCUUAAUUGAGGA
rnacentral:ncRNA from 1 species